AGUGAACGCUGGCGGUAGGCCUAACACAUGCAAGUCGAACGGCAGCACAGUAAGAGCUUGCUCUUACGGGUGGCGAGUGGCGGACGGGUGAGGAAUACAUCGGAAUCUACUUUUUCGUGGGGGAUAACGUAGGGAAACUUACGCUAAUACCGCAUACGACCUACGGGUGAAAGCAGGGGAUCCUCGGACCUUGCGCGAUUGAAUGAGCCGAUGUCGGAUUAGCUAGUUGGCGGGGUAAAGGCCCACCAAGGCGACGAUCCGUAGCUGGUCUGAGAGGAUGAUCAGCCACACUGGAACUGAGGCACGGUCCAGACUCCUACGGGAGGCAGCAGUGGGGAAUAUUGGACAAUGGGCGCAAGCCUGAUCCAGCCAUACCGCGUGGGUGAAGAAGGCCUUCGGGUUGUAAAGCCCUUUUGUUGGGAAAGAAAAGCAGCAGGUUAAUACCCCGCUGUUCUGACGGUACCCAAAGAAUAAGCACCGGCUAACUUCGUG
rnacentral:rRNA from 1 species